UCACAGGUCACAACUACUUCCUCACAAAAAAGAAUAUUUCGCCUGCUCUCUCUGCCCAUCCACGGCCCCAGCUGGCUCAUGGCUUUUCUCUGUUGAGAUUUGUCACUUUGAAUAAUUGGAUGCCACUGUGAUGACAGACCCAGGUCCCUCUUCAAUACCCGUACAUAUUGCUCUCAUCUCUCAAGUUCACACAGAUCAAAGGGGCUCUUCUUCCCUAGGCACUUUUGAGGCUUUGAAUGGGUUCUUGCCUCUUUCAAUCGAUUAACUGAAGAACAUCACUGAAUCAAGAUUAUGCUUAUUUUGGUGUCGCCUGCAUCAGACUUGAGAUCAGAAACCUCGAAUUUUCCACAUAUUAGAUUAUUCAAUUAGUGGGUACGUUCUGGUUUGCUAUGGACUGAUAGAAUGGGUUUCUUGUGAUUUAUUGAGGAAAAAAGUGUGGAUUGUGUGAUGGCUGAAAUGAUUUAGUUACUGGGUUUUUUGGUACUGAAUCUCAAAUGGGCUUGUCAAGUUGUAAGCAUUUGAGAUUCUUUGGCUGCCAUUUGAAUUCCAUGGCAUGCAAAUGCGUUGCUUUGUUUGUCAUUGCUCUGGUUUUUAGAGCUGCUAUGCUCCCCACAUUCUCUGGCUUCGGUGAGGUUGUUCAGAACAGCUUUGGGGUGAUCAACAAGGGUUCAUUAUCCUUAGAUUCAGAGCUCCAAAUGCAGAAAAACAAGUUCUUGGAGGUUCCUCAGAUUGUAUGGGGGUUAAACAAUCAGAAGAUUGCAUUUGCUAGGGCUUGUCUGACUGCAAGAAUGAUGAAGCGAACUCUUUUGAUGCCUAGCCUAAGUGCUUCUCUGUUUUACAAAGAAAUCGAUCUCUUGCAGCCCAUUUCCUUUGAUAAGGUCUUCCAAUUCGAACGGUUUAAUUCACUUUGUAAUGGGUUUGUCAGAUUGGGUCGGUACUCCGAUCUCUCAAAUAGGACACAGGUGUUUGAGCUUCAGAAGGGGAGUGGAAGGAAAUGGACAAUUGAGAGAGAUUUGGAUCAAUUGAGAGAGUUUAGCAAGGAACCAUAUGAUGGAUAUGAGGUGAUUCGAAUACUUGGGAAAAACCCUUUUUUAUGGCAUGACCAUUGGCCUGUCAAGGACUAUGCAAAGGUCUUUGAUUGCUUGGUUUUAGUUGAAGAAAUAUCAAAAGAGGCAGAUAAGGUUGUCUCCAAGAUUAGAGAGAUGGGAAGGAAGGUCGGAAGCAAAGCUGUAUUUUCACUGAAUGCUAGUAAUUCCGAGAGCCCUUCUUCGUUGCCAAUGCCUUACAUAGCCGUACACAUGAGGAUAGAAAAGGAUUGGAUGAUUCACUGUAAGAAGUUAGAGCAAAGAUUCAACAUAAGUCAAAUCUGUAGCAGCAAAGAGGAGAUAAUAGGAAGAGUUGGGAACAUUGCGGGCCUGAAAACUCCAAUGAUUGUCUAUCUUGCAGUGGCUGAUAGUCUUCUUGAAGAUAACUCAAUAUUGAAUGGUUGGAAGGAAGGUUUGCUUCCCUUUGAAAAGAAGAAACUGGGUGUCAUGGGAAUUUACAACAAGUACCCGUAUCUCUUUCAAUCAGCAAUCGACUAUGAAGUGUGCUUGAGGGCCAAUGUCUUUGUUGGCAACAGCUUUUCUACAUUUUCGAGCCUUAUAGCUCUUGAGAGAACACUGAAAAUGAUCAAAAUGGGUAUUACAACAUCAUGUGGCAAGGAUGCAACUUGGCCUUCUUACGCAUAUAACAUAUUAGGCGAAUUGAAUGGCCCUCAGGGAUGGAUGACCAACAUGUCCGACUUAAGCCUUCAUGCAAUUAGCUAUGGUACUAAGGACGUCUCUUGUUGAAUGAUCUUUUUUGUUUCUUCUUCUGGUCCCGGCAUACCUUUAAUCUAGUGGAAAUCGGUUGGUAAGGCUCACAGAUAAGUUAUUUUUGUAUAAAAAUAUAAGUAAAGAAAACCUCAAAUUAGCUGUUUUAGAUGAAGACAGGUAUAGUUAAACAUUUACAUAGAUUCGGAGUUGUUUAAGUUGUUGCUGAAUUUGUUCAUUUAUUUUUCCCAUCCUCAUUCAAUUUGAUGCCAUAUUUAUUUUUUUGGUGUAACCUUUCUGUAGAGAAUGGUAAACUAAAGGGGGUUGUUUGUGGUAUCAUUUAUUUUUUUUGGUCUUUCUUAGCAACCAAAUGGAGCAUAUAUGUAUAGUUUUUGGGCUGUCUUUUGGCUUGUAUAGUUUGGUGGAGACCUUGGACGUUGCAGGGAAAUUGUUAUGAUUGUUUAGAGGAUCAAAAGCCAUCAAGAUCUCCUCAACUACCCUUGUGGGGGGGACUCCAUUCUUAAGACCCCUCUUGUUGGCCACCCGGGAGAGCUGCUUGAGAAAAAAAAAAAUAUUGGAGCAGGGAGAAGGGAACCAGAAAAUGAAAGAGUGAAAGAGGACCUGCCCUUCACCAAUCUCUCCUCCGCCCCUCACCCUGAGACUGCAACGCUCUUCCUCUCCUUCAUCUGCUUCAACACCCACUUCAGUGUGCAGAAUGGGUUGCCGGAGAAUGAUCACCGGGAACCUGGAUCCAGAGGGGAAGAAGUUGGGUUGAAGCCAAGCAAAUUCCAGCCGAAGGAGAGCAUUACCUGGUAAGACUGAUCAGGUUCAUGGAUUAUUACUGAUCAUCAUACUUCUUUUUUUUUUUUUUAAGUGAUUAUUUUGCAUUGUUUGUGAGUUUGUUUUGGUAUGAUCAUUGUGGCUCUCCAUACGUCACUUCUCAACCUUCCAGAUUUGUAUAUUAAUGCUGAAGUUUGUCUUUUCCUUUUUUUUCUUUUCUUACUCUUACAAUGGUUUGUUGUGGCAUGGUCUCAUCUAUUGUUCA